rnacentral:rRNA from 1 species
AACGUAGGACGCAAGCGUUAUCCGGAGUUACUGGGCGUAAAGCGUGCGCAGGCGGUUUUGUAAGACCGAUGUGAAAUCCCCGGGCUUAACCUGGGAACUGCAUUGGUGACUGCAAGGCUUGAGUGUGUCAGAGGGAGGUGGAAUUCCGCGUGUAGCGGUGAAAUGCGUAGAUAUGCGGAGGAACACCGAUGGCGAAGGCAGCCUCCUGGGAUAACACUGACGCUCAUGCACGAAAGCGUGGGGAGCAAACAGG